rnacentral:rRNA from 1 species
UUAAGCAAAAAAGAGCGCAGGGUGGAUGCCUUGGCACUAAGAGCCGAAGAAAGACGUGAUAAGCUGCGAAAAGCUGCGGGGAGGAGCAAAUAUCCACUGAUCCGCAGAUGUCUGAAUGGGGAAACCCGCAUGAGCAUACCUCAUGCAUCCAUACGCCAAUCCAUAACGUAUGGAGGGGAACCGCCUGAACUGAAACAUCUAAGUAGGGCGAGGAAGAGAAAGAAAAUUUAUCGAUUUCCAAAGUAGCGGCGAGCGAAAUGGAAAGAGCCCAAACCGUGAUGCGUGCAUCGCGGGGUUCGGACUGCGUUGUGGCAGACGUAAGAUAGGAGAACGGACUGGGAAGUCCGGCCGGAGAGAGUGAAAGCCUCGUAUCCGAAAUCCCAAGUCGCCUAGCAGGAUCCAGAGUAGGACGAGACACGAGAAACCUUGUCUGAACGAGCGGGGACCACCCCGUAAGGCUAAAUACUUCUUAGUGACCGAUAGCGCAUAGUACUGUGAAGGAAAGGUGAAAAGUACCCCGGGAGGGGAGUGAAAGAGAACCUGAAACCCUGUGUCUACAAGCUGUGGGACCUCUUUAUAUGAGGGACUGCGUACUUUUUGUAGAACGGUCCGGCGAGUUGUGCGUACUGGCGAGGUUAAGGACUUAAGGUCUGGAGCCGAAGUGAAAGCAAGCGUUAAUAGCGCGUCAAGUCAGUGAGUGCAGACCCGAAACCGGGUGACCUAUCCAUGUCCAGGUUGAAGCUUCCGUAAGAGGAAGUGGAGGACCGAACCCACAUCCGUUGAAAAGGGUGGGGAUGAGGUGUGGAUAGCGGAGAAAUUCCAAUCGAACCCGGAGAUAGCUGGUUCUCCUCGAAAUAGCUUUAGGGCUAGCCUCAUGAGAGUCUUAUGGAGGUAGAGCACUGAAUUGCCUAGGGGGCGUCAAAGCUUACCAAAGCAUAUCAAACUCCGAAUGCCAUCAAGAUGAUUCAUGGGAGUCAGACCAUACGAGAUAAGUUGGAUGGUCAAAAGGGAAAGAGCCCAGACCUACAGCUAAGGUCCCAAAGUACGUGUUAAGUGGAAAAGGAUGUGGGGAUUCUAAGACAACUAGGACGUUGGCUUAGAAGCAGCCAUUCAUUGAAAGAGUGCGUAAUAGCUCACUAGUCGAGAGUCCCUGCGCCGAAAAUGUCCGGGGCUGAAACACGACACCGAAGCUUAGGAAUGUGUAAACAUUGGUAGAGGAGCAUUGCUGGCGGGAUGAAGCCAUACCGUAAGGAGUGGUGGACUGCUAGGAAGAGAGAAUGCCGGAAUGAGUAGCGAGAUGAAGGUGAGAAUCCUUCAGGCCGAAUAUCUAAGGUUUCCAGAGUAAAGCUGAUCUGCUCUGGGUAAGUCGGGACCUAAGGCGAGGUCGAAAGACGUAGUCGAUGGAUAACAGGUUGAAAUUCCUGUACUAUCCUGUAACAGAACUGUGGGGACACAGGCAGAGAGCGUGAGCCGGGAAUGGAAAGACCGGUACAAGCGAGGUAGGAGAAGAGUUGGCAAAUCCGCUCUUUAAUCUGAAGACGUGAUGUGGACUGAAAAUAAGUAGGGAAGCACGUGAGCUGACUGUCAAGAAAAGCCGCUAUUGUUUGCAGGAUACCCGUACCGUAAACCGACACAGGUGGAUGAGGAGAGAAUCCUAAGGCCGACGGGAGAAGCAUUGUUAAGGAACUCGGCAAAAUGACUCCGUAACUUCGGGAGAAGGAGUGCCAGUAAGAUGGCCGCAGAGAAUUGGCCCAAGCAACUGUUUAGCAAAAACACAGGUCUAUGCAAAACCGAAAGGUGAGGUAUAUGGGCUGACGCCUGCCCGGUGCUGGAAGGUUAAGGGGAGAGGUUAGCGCAAGCGAAGCUUUGAACUUAAGCCCCAGUAAACGGCGGCCGUAACUAUAACGGUCCUAAGGUAGCGAAAUUCCUUGUCGGGUAAGUUCCGACCCGCACGAAAGGCGUAAUGAUUUGAGCACUGUCUCGACAAUGCAUCCGGUGAAAUUGAAGUACCAGUGAAGAUGCUGGUUACCUGCGCCAGGACGGAAAGACCCCAUGGAGCUUUACUCUAGUUUGAUACUGUGUCCCGGUUUUAACAGUUCGGAAGGUGACAGAUUGAACUUUACAUUCUUAAUCUGUUUCAUCAUAUAUUCAUUCUCUUUAAUAAAACGGCACACCCUUCUGAACUGAAGCAGUCCGAUCUGUGCGAUGAGCCCCUGCCUUUCUGCAAUACUGAUAAACACAUCCGGCGGGAUCAUUCCCAUACAGGGAUGCUUCAGCCUGCUCAAAGCUUCGAGAGUAAUAUAACGAUCUUCCUUUGUCCAGAAUACCGGCUGAUAGUACACUUCAAACAGGUCUUUAUCCACUGCUGUUUUCAGGAAAUGCUCCACCUCUUUUUCAUAACGGAAGCCCUCCAGAAUCCUGUCAUCUGACUGGAUCACUACCGUUUCAUCUGCACGUUUUACCAAAGAUAUCAGAUACUCGAUAUAUGCCAGCAGUACAUCUUCCUUCUCCAUCUUUUCACCGUUGAUAAUCCCGCAGAUGAUUGCCGGAAAAGUGAUUUUUUCCCCGUCAGUUUCAAAAGGUUCUUUGAAAUAGUUCUCAAUCUCCUGUCUUUUUUUCUCAUAUUCUGUCAAUGAAUCUGUAAUGAUCAGAAAACAGUUUCCUGUGGUUCGGAACACCUGUACAGAACCUGUAAUGUUUUGCAGUUCUCUUGCAAUC